UACAGAGGCCUCAAGCGUUAGGCGGAGUCACUGGGCUUAAAGCGUGUGUAGGCGGAUGCCUAAGUACCUUGUGAAAUCCCACGGCUCAACCGUGGAACUGCUGGGUAUACUGGGCGUCUUGGGCCAUUCAGGGGCGACUGGAACAAGCGGUGGAGCGGUGAAAUGCGUAGAUAUCGCUUGGAACGCCGAAGGUGAAAACAGGUCGCUGGGGAUGUGCCGACGCUGAGACACGAAAGCCAGGGGAGCAAACGGG
rnacentral:rRNA from 1 species